AUUCCUGCGAAGUCAUCCGAAAACUUCCAGGCCAUGCUGAGGUUGUGGCCUCCUCAUAGUGUAAUGCCGUCAGACCUAUUUUGGUUUCAUCAAAUCUUACCGCUGGUCCACUCCCUCUAUCUCUGCUUGCCUUUUGAAUUAUCGAAUGGGGUUGAGGUCGUAGAGAACGUACAAAAGCAGCAUCAAGAGAAGUUGCAUGAGAACACCUUCAGAGGAGCUGCAGCUUUCAGCUGGGAAUUUAAGCAGUCCGUAGCCGUUGAUGAUAAGUUCCCCCCUAGAGUCAAAUUCAACCAUGUAGGAGAGUUUUUAUCAGUGGCUUCACCUGUAUAAAUUUCACUGGUAUGUGGUGUUGAUCUCUCCUUGUUUACUGAUACCUCUUCCAUCUCUUCAUUUUCUCUUUCAAGGCUUGUCAUUCUUCUAGUGUUAAUGAAAGAAGUGGUAUUAGACAUCAUGGAGGAUCGGUUGGGUUACGAUUGCUUUCCUUAAAAAGGAGAACAAGCUAGUGGGUAGUGGGAACAAAUUAUCAUGUGGGAAGCUUGUGAGUGGUCCUUUUUUUUUUUUUAAUAUAAGAGGAAUCAGUAGGUAAAGAACUUUGUCAGUUCAGUUGAUAUCUAAUAUCUUUAGAUGCU